AUUGAACGCUGGCGGCAGGCCUAACACAUGCAAGUCGAGCGAGCGGCGGACGGGUGAGUAAUGUCUGGGAAACUGCCUGAUGGAGGGGGAUAACUACUGGAAACGGUAGCUAAUACCGCAUACCAUCAGAUGUGCCCAGAUGUGAUUAGCUAGUAGGUGGGGUAAUGGCUCACCUAGGCGACGAGCCCUAGCUGGUCUGAGAGGAUGACCGGCAACACUGGAACGGGGAAACGGUCCAGACUCCUACGGAGGGCGGAGGUGGGGAAUAUUGCACAAUGAGCGCAAGCCUGAUGAAGCAAUGCCGCGUGUGUGAAGAGGGCCUUCGGGUUGUAAAGCACUUUCAGAGAGGAGGCGUUACUCGCAGAAGAAGCACCGGCUAACUCCGUGCCAGCAGCCGCGGUAAUUC
rnacentral:rRNA from 1 species